UACGAGGGGGGCAAAUGUUGUUCGGAAUCACUGGGCGUAAAGGGCUCGUAGGUGGCCAACUAAGUCAGACGUGAAAUCCCUCGGCUUAACCGGGGAACUGCGUCUGAUACUGGAUGGCUUGAGUUUGGGAGAGGGACGCGGAAUUCCAGGUGUAGCGGUGAAAUGCGUAGAUAUCUGGAGGAACACCGGUGGCGAAGGCGGCGUCCUGGACCAACACUGACACUGAGGAGCGAAAGCCAGGGGAGCAAACGGG
rnacentral:rRNA from 1 species